rnacentral:rRNA from 1 species
UACGUAGGGUGCAAGCGUUAAUCGGAAUACUGGGCGUAAAGCGUGCGCAGGCGGUUUUGUAAGUCUGUCGUGAAAUCCCCGGGCUCAACCUGGGAAUUGCGAUGGAGACUGCAAGGCUAGAAUCUGGCAGAGGGGGGUAGAAUUCCACGUGUAGCAGUGAAAUGCGUAGAGAUGUGGAGGAACGCCGAUGGCGAAGGCAGCCCCCUGGGUCAAGAUUGACGCUCAUGCACGAAAGCGUGGGGAGCAAACAGG